rnacentral:rRNA from 1 species
AUUGAACGCUGGCGGACAUGCCUUACACAUGCAAGUCGAACGGGCAGCGCGGACUUCGGUCUGGCGGCGAGUGGCGAACGGGUGAGUAAUACAUCGGAACGUACCCUGUUGUGGGGGAUAACUAGUCGAAAGAUUAGCUAAUACCGCAUACGACCUGAGGGUGAAAGUGGGGGACCGCAAGGCCUCACGCAGCAGGAGCGGCCGAUGUCUGAUUAGCUAGUUGGUGGGGAAAGGCCCACCAAGGCGACGAUCAGUAGCUGGUCUGAGAGGACGAUCAGCCACACUGGGGACUGAGACACGGCCCAGACUCCUACGGGAGCAGCAGUGGGGAAUUUUGGACAAUGGGGGCAACCCUGAUCCAGCAAUGCCGCGUGUGUGAAGAAGG